rnacentral:rRNA from 1 species
AUUGAACGCUGGCGGAAUGCUUUACACAUGCAAGUCGAACGAUGAACCUUAGCUUGCUAAGGGGAUUAGUGGCGAACGGGUGAGUAAUAUAUCGGAACGUACCUUGUAAUGGGGGAUAACUAGUCGAAAGAUUAGCUAAUACCGCAUACGCCCUGAGAGGGAAAGUAGGGGAUCUUCGGACCUUACGUUAUAAGAGCGGCCGAUAUCUGAUUAGCUAGUUGGUGGGGUAAUGGCCUACCAAGGCGACGAUCAGUAGCUGGUCUGAGAGGACGACCAGCCACACUGGAACUGAGACACGGUCCAGACUCCUACGGGAGGCAGCAGUGGGGAAUUUUGGACAAUGGGCGCAAGCCUGAUCCAGCCAUUCCGCGUGAGUGAAGAAGGCCUUCGGGUUGUAAAGCUCUUUCGCAAGGGAAGAAAACUUACAUUCUAAUAAAGUGUGAGGCUGACGGUACCUUGAUAAGAAGUACCGGCUAACUACGUGCCAGCCGCCGCGGUAAUAC